GCUAAUACCGCAUAACGUCGCAAGACCAAAGAGGGGGACCUUCGGGCCUCUUGCCAUCAGAUGUGCCCAGAUGGGAUUAGCUUGUUGGUGAGGUAACGGCUCACCAAGGCGACGAUCCCUAGCUGGUCUGAGAGGAUGACCAGCCACACUGGAACUGAGACACGGUCCAGACUCCUACGGGAGGCAGCAGUGGGGAAUAUUGCACAAUGGGCGCAAGCCUGAUGCAGCCAUGCCGCGUGUAUGAAGAAGGCCUUCGGGUUGUAAAGUACUUUCAGCGGGGAGGAAGGUGUUGUGGUUAAUAACCGCAGCAAUUGACGUUACCCGCAGAAGAAGCACCGGCUAACUCCGUGCCAGCAGCCGCGGUAAUACGGAGGGUGCAAGCGUUAAUCGGAAUUACUGGGCGUAAAGCGCACGCAGGCGGUCUGUCAAGUCGGAUG
rnacentral:rRNA from 1 species